rnacentral:rRNA from 1 species
UGGGGAAUAUUGCACAAUGGGGGAAACCCUGAUGCAGCGACGCCGCGUGAAGGAAGAAGUAUUUCGGUAUGUAAACUUCUAUCAGCAAGGAAGAAAAUGACGGUACUUGACUAAGAAGCCCCGGCUAAAUACGUGCCAGCAGCCGCGGUAAUACGUAUGGGGCAAGCGUUAUCCGGAUUUACUGGGUGUAAAGGGAGCGUAGGCGGUAAGACAAGUCAGAAGUGAAAGGCUGGGGCUCAACCCAUAAACUGCAUUUGAAACUGUAGAGCUUGAGUGAAGUAGAGGCAGGCGGAAUUCCCCGUGUAGCGGUGAAAUGCGUAGAGAUGGGGAGGAACACCAGUGGCGAAGGCGGCCUGCUGGGCUUUAACUGACGCUGAGGCACGAAAGCGUGGGUAGCAAACAGGAUUAGAUACCCUGGUAGUCCACGCUGUAAACGAUGAUUACUAGGUGUGGGGGGUCUGACCCCUUCCGUGCCGGAGUUAACACAAUAAGUAAUCCACCUGGGGAGUACGGCCGCAAGGUUGAAACUCAAAGGAAUUGACGGGGGCCCGCACAAGCAGUGGAGUAUGUGGUUUAAUUCGAAGCAACGCGAAGAACCUUACCAGGUCUUGACAUCCAACUAACGAAGUAGAGAUACAUUAGGUGCCCUUCGGGGAAAGUUGAGACAGGUGGUGCAUGGUUGUCGUCAGCUCGUGUCGUGAGAUGUUGGGUUAAGUCCCGCAACGAGCGCAACCCUUGCUAUUAGUUGCUACGCAAGAGCACUCUAAUAGGACUGCCGUUGACAAAACGGAGGAAGGUGGGGACGACGUCAAAUCAUCAUGCCCCUUAUGACCUGGGCUACACACGUACUACAAUGGAUGUUAACAGAGGGAAGCAAGACAGCGAUGUGGAGCAAACCCCUAAAAACAUUCUCAGUUCAGAUUGCAGGCUGCAACCCGCCUGCAUGAAGAUGGAAUUGCUAGUAAUCGCGGAUCAGAAUGCCGCGGUGAAUACGUUCCC